UAAUUGAAGAGUUUGAUCAUGGCUCAGAUUGAACGCUGGCGGCAGGCCUAACACAUGCAAGUCGAGCGGUAACAUUUCUAGCUUGCUAGAAGAUGACGAGCGGCGGACGGGUGAGUAAUGCCUGGGAAAUUGCCUUGAUGUGGGGGAUAACCAUUGGAAACGAUGGCUAAUACCGCAUAACGCCUU
rnacentral:ncRNA from 1 species